rnacentral:rRNA from 1 species
CCUACGGGAGGCAGCAGUGAGGAAUAUUGGUCAAUGGGCGCGAGCCUGAACCAGCCAAGUAGCGUGAAGGAUGACUGCCCUACGGGUUGUAAACUUCUUUUAUAAAGGAAUAAAGUGAGGCACGUGUGCCUUUUGUAUGUACUUUAUGAAUAAGGAUCGGCUAACUCCGUGCCAGCAGCCGCGGUAAUACGGAGGAUCCGAACGUUAUCCGGGUUUAUUGGGUUUAAAGGUGGCGUAGAUGGGUUGUUAAGUCAGUUGUGAAAGUUUGCGGCGCAACCGUAAAAUUGCAAUUGAUACUGGCAGUCUUGAGUACAGUUGAGGUAGGCGGAAUUCGUGGUGUAGCGGUGAAAUGCUUAGAUAUCACGAAGAACUCCGAUUGCGAAGGCAGCUUACUAAACUGCCACUGACAUUGAUGCUCGAAAGUGUGGGUAUCAAACAGGAUUAGAUACCCUGGUAGUC